rnacentral:rRNA from 1 species
CCCGGUGAAAAUUUUUAACGGCCGCGGUACCCUAACCGUGCAAAGGUAGCAUAAUCAUUUGCCUUUUAAUUGAAGGCUAGUAUGAACGGAUAAAUGAGGAUUUAGCUGUCUCUUUUAUAAAAAUAUAAAUUAAUCUUCAGGUGAAGAAGCCUGAAUAAUAAUAAAAGACAAGAAGACCCUAUUGAGCUUUACUUUAACUUUAAACAUAAAAUAUUUAUAUAUAUACAACAAAAGCUUUAAGUUUGGUUGGGGCGACAAGGGGAUAAUAAAACCUCCCCAUAAAUUUUAGAUAUACAUAUCAUUUUAAUGAUCCGAUAUUUUCGACCAAAGGAACAAGCUACCAUAGGGAUAACAGGCUAAUUCUUCUAAAGAGCCCACAUUGAUAGAAGAGAUUGGCACCUCGAUGUUGGCUUAGAAUGUCCUUCUGGUGUAGCAGCCAGAAAGGGUUGGUUUGUUCAACCAUUAAAAUUCU